GACGAACGCUGGCGGCGUGCUUAACACAUGCCAGUCGAACGAAAAGAGGGAAAGAGCUUGCUCUUUCCGGAAUUGAGUGGCAAACGGGUGAGUAACACGUAAACAACCUGCCUUCAGGAUGGGGACAACAGACGGAAACGACUGCUAAUACCGAAUAAGUUCCAAGGGCCGCAUGGCCCAUGGAAGAAAAGGUGGCCUCUACCUGUAAGCUAUCGCCUGAAGAGGGGUUUGCGUCUGAUUAGCUGGUUGGAGGGGUAACGGCCCACCAAGGCGACGAUCAGUAGCCGGUCUGAGAGGAUGACCGGCCACACUGGAACUGAGACACGGUCCAGACUCCUACGGGAGGCAGCAGUGGGGAAUCUUCCGCAAUGGGCGAAAGCCUGACGGAGCAACGCCGCGUGAGUGAUGACGGCCUUCGGGUUGUAAAACUCUGUGAUCCGGGACGAAAAGGCAGAGUGCGAAGAACAAACUGCAUUGACGGUACCGGAAAAGCAAGCCACGGCUAACUACGUG
rnacentral:rRNA from 1 species